GUGUUGGUGCGAGAGUGUCCUGUCCGUUCGUUGACUCGCGUUGCAUCGGUCUGCCAUCAAGGUGACCAUUCAGAAAUUUGAGUUUUAAACGUCGUACUUUAUAGAGUGCUCAAUCCAAAGCAAGUUUAUCCUCGAGCAAGUUAUCCGCCUCCCCGCGUCAUGCGGAUAUUCCGGCGGUCAUCUGACCAGUCCCCAGCCAUCCUCGUCCGCCACACCCCCAUAAGGACGAGCGUAGGUCCUCACCGCGCCUCCUUCUCGACGCCGGCCUCGCCCGCCGCUGGCGUCUCCUCGAAUUUUGGCUUCCCGCGGC
rnacentral:lncRNA from 1 species